CUCAAAGUACUAUGACCAAAUUGCUUAUUAUUAACCGUAGAGAUGUCACUAUACAUCUCAUAUGUUGUCAAGUAUUGAAACGUACCUGAAAAAUUGAAAGAGGGGAGUAAGAAGGGUGAGAUUAGCAGUCAAGUAGUAGCAAGAAUAAGAACCAGCAGCAGUGAUAACCCAGGAAUCCCAUAUGCAGCCCAGAACAGAUUCAAAAUUGCCUAAAACUUACUCAAAACCUCCAAACAAAACUCUUAAGACCCCAAAACUCAAAUUGUUUUAACCAAAAUGGACCAGAAAUUACUUGAGGAAUCAAAAAUGAAAGAAUCUUAGGGAAAAUUCAUUCAAA
rnacentral:lncRNA from 1 species